UUCUGCAGGCGCUGUAGAGAAGAGAAAGAGGAAAGUCGCCCAUGAAGAUCAGAGCGAUGAAAUCCGACAGACUGUUGAAGAGAAGAUGAAACGACAGAAAGAGCAGAAGGAGAGGAGCGACGAGAGGAAAGAGCUGGAGAAGAAAUCAGCGCUGGAUCGCUUUAAGAAGUGAAGAUGUCUGAUGUACAUCGAGAACAGUGUUGCUCAUCUGCCGCACACACUGGCAGAUUACAGGACACGACUGUUUUAUAAUAAAAUAUCCUGAUGUCA